GACGAGGGGUCCAAGCGUUGUUCGGAAUUACUGGGCGUAAAGCGUGCGCAGGCGGUGAUGUAAGACAGGUGUGAAAUCCCCGGGCUUAACCUGGGAACUGCAUUUGUGACUGCAUCGCCGGAGUGCGGCAGAGGGGGAUGGAAUUCCGCGUGUAGCAGUGAAAUGCGUAGAUAUCUGGAGGAACACCGGUGGCGAAGGCGGCAUCCUGGACCAACACUGACGCUGAGUGAGCGAAAGCCAGGGGAGCAAACGGG
rnacentral:rRNA from 1 species